AUUGAACGCUGGCGGCAGGCCUAACACAUGCAAGUCGAACGAGUGGCGGACGGGUGAGUAAUGUCUGGGAAACUGCCCGAUGGAGGGGGAUAACUACUGGAAACGGUAGCUAAUACCGCAUACCAUCGGAUGUGCCCAGAUGGGAUUAGCUGGUAGGUGGGGUAACGGCUCACCUAGUCGACGAUCCCUAGCUGGUCUGAGAGGAUGACCGGCCAAACGGGAACUGAGAAACGGUCCAGACUCCUACGGAAGGCAGCAGAGGGGAAUAUUGCACAAUGGGCGCAAGCCGGAUGAAGCAAGGCCGCGUGGAUGAAGAAGGUCUUCGGGUUGUAAAGUACUUUGAGAGAGGAGGCGGUACUCGAAGAAGAAGCACCGGCUAACUCCGUGCCAGCAGCCGCGGUAAUAC
rnacentral:rRNA from 1 species